GACGAACGCUGGCGGCGUGCUUAACACAUGCAAGUCGAACGGUAAGGCUCGAUCUUGCCUGGGGACACGAGUGGCGAAGGGGUGAGUAACACGUGGGUGUCCUCCCCUGCAGGUCGUGGUAAGCCUGAGAAACGGGGUCUACUACCGGAGAGGUCCAUGGUGUGGCUACUGUUGUGGAGAGUUUUUUCGGUGUGGGAUGGGCCCGCGGCCUAUCAGCUUUUUGGUGGGGUAAUGGCCUACAAAGGCGGCGACGGGUAGCCGGCCUGAGAGGGUGGACGGCCACAUUGGGACUGAGACACGGCCCAGACGCCUACGGGAGGCAGCAGUGGGGAAUAUUGCACAGUGGGCGGAAGCCUGAUGCAGCGACGCUGCGUGGGGGAUGACGGCCUUCGGGUUGUAAACAGCUUUCACCAUCGACGAAGGGUUUCUGACGGUAGAUGGAGAAGAAGCACCGGCUAACUACGUG
rnacentral:rRNA from 1 species